UACGUAGGGUGCGAGCGUUAAUCGGAAUUACUGGGCGUAAAGCGUGCGCAGGCGGUUUUGUAAGCCAGAUGUGAAAUCCCCGGGCUUAACCUGGGAAUGGCAUUUGGGACUGCAAGGCUUGAGUGCGGCAGAGGAGACUGGAAUUCCUGGUGUAGCAGUGAAAUGCGUAGAUAUCAGGAGGAAUACCGAUGGCGAAGGCAGGUCUCUGGGAUAACACUGACGCUCAUGCACGAAAGCGUGGGGAGCAAACAGG
rnacentral:rRNA from 1 species